UACGUAGGGACCAAGCGUUGUUCGGAUUUACUGGGCGUAAAGGGCGCGUAGGCGGCGUGUUAAGUCACUUGUGAAAUCUCUAAGCUUAACUUAGAACGGUCAAGUGAUACUGAUGUGCUAGAGUGCAGAAGGGGCAACCGGAAUUCUUGGUGUAGCGGUGAAAUGCGUAGAUAUCAAGAGGAACACCUGAGGCGAAGACGGGUUGCUGGGCUGAAACUGACGCUGAGGCGCGAAAGCUAGGGGAGCAAACGGG
rnacentral:rRNA from 1 species